rnacentral:rRNA from 1 species
UACGUAGGUGGCAAGCGUUGUCCGGAUUUACUGGGUGUAAAGGGCGUGUAGCCGGACUGACAAGUCAGAUGUGAAAUCCGGGGGCUCAACCCCCGAACUGCAUUUGAAACUGUUGGUCUUGAGUAUCGGAGAGGCAGGCGGAAUUCCUAGUGUAGCGGUGAAAUGCGUAGAUAUUAGGAGGAACACCAGUGGCGAAGGCGGCCUGCUGGACGACAACUGACGGUGAGGCGCGAAAGCGUGGGGAGCAAACAGG